rnacentral:rRNA from 1 species
GAUGAACGCUGGCGGCGUGCUUAACACAUGCAAGUCGAACGAAGCACUUUAACUUGAUUUUUUCGGAAUGAUACUUAUUGUGACUGAGUGGCGGACGGGUGAGUAACGCGUGGGUAACCUGCCUCAUACAGGGGGAUAACAGUUGGAAACGACUGCUAAUACCGCAUAAGCGCACGGUAUCGCAUGAUACAGUGUGAAAAACUCCGGUGGUAUGAGGUGGACCCGCGUCUGAUUAGCGAGUUGGCGGAGUAACGGCCCACCAAGGCAACGAUCAGUAGCGGACCUGAGAGGGUGACCGGCCACAUUGGGACUGAGACACGGCCCAAACUCCUACGGGAGGCAGCAGUGGGGAAUAUUGCACAAUGGGCGAAAGCCUGAUGCAGCGACGCCGCGUGAACGAUGAAGUAUUUCGGUAUGUAAAGUUCUAUCAGCAGGGAAGAAGAAUGACGGUACCUGACUAAGAAGCACUGGCUAAAUACGUGCCAGCCGCCGCAGUAA